GCUAGAGCCGGGGCAGCGGCAGCGGUAAAACGAGGGGUGAAAGCGUUAAUCGGAAUUACUAGGCGUAAAGCUUGCGCAGGCUGCUGAUUAAGUCAGAUGUGAAAUCCCUAGGCUCAACCUAGGAACUGCAUUUGAAACUAAUAAACUAGAGUAUCGUAGAGGGAGGUAGAAUUCCAGGUGUAGCGGUGAAAUGCGUAGAUAUCUGGAGGAAUACCAGUGGCGAAGGCGACCUCCUGGACGAAAACUGACGCUCAAGCACGAAAGCAUGGGGAGCAAACAGGAUUAGAUACCCUAGUAGUC
rnacentral:rRNA from 1 species